rnacentral:rRNA from 1 species
UACGUAGGGUGCAAGCGUUAUCCGGAAUUAUUGGGCGUAAAGAGCUCGUAGGCGGUUUGUCGCGUCUGCUGUGAAAACCCGAGGCUCAACCUCGGGCCUGCAGUGGGUACGGGCAGACUAGAGUGCGGUAGGGGAGAUUGGAAUUCCUGGUGUAGCGGUGGAAUGCGCAGAUAUCAGGAGGAACACCGGUGGCGAAGGCGGCGACCUGGGUCGAGACUGACGCUGAGGCGCGAAAGCGUGGGGAGCAAACAGG